rnacentral:rRNA from 1 species
UACGUAGGGGCCUAGCGUUGUCCGGAUUUAUUGGGCGUAAAGAGCUCGUAGGCGGUUCGGCAAGUCGGAUGUGAAAUCUCCACGCUUAACGUGGAGGGCCAUUCGAAACUGCCGUGACUCGAGUCCGGUAGGGGAGUGUGGAAUUCCCGGUGUAGCGGUGAAAUGCGCAGAUAUCGGAGGAACACCCGUGGCGAAGGCGGCUCACUGGCUGGACCUUGACGCUGAGG